GCAAGUCGAGCGGAAACGAUUCUAGCUUGCUAGAAGGCGUCGAGCGGCGGACGGGUGAGUAACGCGUAGGAACUUACCCAGUAGUUGGGGAUAGCCCGGAGAAAUCCGGACUAAUACCGAAUAAUCCCUAAGGAGGAAAGUGGGCUUCGGCUCACGCUACUAGAUGGGCCUGCGUCUGAUUAGCUAGUUGGUUAGGUAAAGGCUGACCAAGGCGACGAUCUUUAGCUGGUCUGAGAGGAUGAUC
rnacentral:rRNA from 1 species